rnacentral:rRNA from 1 species
ACAGCAGUCGCCACGGGAAUACGAAGGGGGCUAGCGUUGUUCGGAAUUACUGGGCGUAAGGCGCACGUAGGCGGAUAUUUAAGUCAGGGGUGAAAUCCCAGAGCUCAACUCUGGAACUGCCUUUGAUACUGGGUAUCUUGAGUAUGGAAGAGGUGAGUGGAAUUCCGAGUGUAGAGGUGAAAUUCGUAGAUAUUCGGAGGAACACUAGUGGCGAAGGCGGCUCACUGGUCCAUUACUGACGCUGAGGCACGAAAGCGUGGGGAGCAAACAGGAUUAGAUACCCCAGUAGUCCCUGUCUCUUAUAC